UAACACAUAUAAUAAAAAGUUUGCUAGUUGCGGGUGUUGUUGUAAAAGUUUUUCAAAUAUAAAGAUUUUGUUUAAUUAAGGAAAAUAAUAAUCUCGUUGAUGAACAGGAAAGAAUAUAGAAAAGUCAGGGAAAACUCAGGGAACUUAAAGAUUUCAACUCAGGAAAAAAACGUUCUUUACUCAGGAAAUACUCAGGAAAAAACUUUAAAAGUUAUAGUGGCAACCCUGAUAAAAUAAUUUCUGUAUAUUAAAAAUAUAUAUAAUUUGCAAAAUAUACAUGUUUUUCCUAAUAUUGACCUGGGCUUCUGUGAAUGGAUAAGUUCUGUGAAUAGAGAAUGGACUGUGAAUCUCUAGGAAAUGUGAAUGUUAUUAUGAUACAUAUUUUUACAUCAAGAGUAGUGUGUUUUACAUUACUCUCAUUAAAAGUUUAUGAAUAUAUAUGAUAAAAAACAUUUUUAAAACUACAUUACAGUAGUGUGACAUGAUUUAGAAUAAAUAUACAUUUAAAGGAUUUUUUACAUAAACUUCAUUUGGUACCUCAUAGUAGUUUGUUUUUAUUUUUAGUUUUAUUUAUCUGUUGAUUAGUAGAACAAUAUGUACUAGUUAUAAUAUUUACAUAUGGUAAAGCAUGUAUGUUAUUCAUGCAAUAUGAUUUCAAUAGUCAAUUUUUUAAUAGUUUAAUGGCAGCAUGUAUUGUCAUUAAUACAUGCUGCCAUUGUCACAAUGUAGUAAAUUUUAAAAGUUAUUUAUGUAUAAUGAUUUUUUAAACCAAUUUGUUAGGGUGUUAUAUUAUUUAGAAUCUACUGUGAAAUUAGUUUAAUAUAUAAUCACAAAACUUAGCUCUAAGACAACAUGAAAUUAAACGAUAAAUUCUGGUCCACGAUAAUUGAAAUACGUUAUGUUAGACUAAUCAUGAAUAUAACUAUUAUAUACAUUAUAUAAUUACUCUACACUUGUUUAUAACUGUAAAUUUUCAUUGUGAAAAUAAUUUUAUAACAAAAUUUAUUGUUGUCAAAAUUACAAUUGUUUUUUUAAUUUUUUUCAAUAUGUUUAAAUUGUAACAAAUAGUUAUUUUCAAGUAAUAAUAUAACCUAAAAUGAUUAUUGUUUAAUUAGGUACAAUCAAAAUGUUAGUAGUAUUGAUUAUUUUUGCAUUUUUUAAGUUAAAUAAAAGACAUUAAACCCUAACCAACUGAUUAAAUGGUUUGAUAUCAGGUUAACUAGAGUCGAGACUUUUAUUUUUAAAUGGAUGCCUGUUAAAAAGAAAAACUGAAGAAACUUUAAAACUAGAUGAUGCCAACUAAAGAAGUUAAAACACCGUUAUUCAUGGUGUCAUAUCGAGGCUUCAGUUCUCCAUGUAAAAGUGGAUGAAAGCACUAAAGAAAACUAUAACGAUAAACUUUAAAGCAGAGUUUUGUCAUGCGAUUACGGUGGCGAUAUGAGAGAACUAGUGUGGCAGAAUAUUACUAUCGUAGAACAGUUUUGCAUCAAAUCAUUGUAUAAUAUUAGUUAUUUGCAGCAAAUUAAAUAUAUAUAAUAUAAAUAA